UGGAGGACAUCCAGAGGAUCUCGCCUUCUCUUAUAGCUCCCUGAGUGUGAUAUGAGGCUGCUAUGUCAUGUCCAUGUCCUAUAAUCAGUCACCCAUGCCGCCCGGGGCUAAAAGUCAAAGGACUGCUCAGAACUGAUGUAACUCCGCUGCCUAUUUCCCCUUUGAAACUUCAAACUCCAGUUUGUGAACAAAGUCCUGUCUAUCUUCACAAUAGGGAUCUCCGACCACUGACCAAACUCCAUUUGUAACCACUGCCUAUUUGUACCUUCUCUUGAAUGAGUCUUGUUCAUUUCUACUGAACGGGACAUGGCAGUAAUGCCACGAUCUGAAUCACCAGCGAUUUAGCCUACAUGGAAUAGCAUGCUCUUGGAAUAAUUGUGGAUAACUUUGGGAAUAUAUCAGUUUCUCCGUUUGGAUGCCUGGAAGGGGUUUAUGAUGCUUGGCCACCUUGAUAAGAAUGACAAGAGAGUAGAAGAGAGAAGGAAAUAUGCUUGCUCCAGCACAUCUGAGGCCAGUAAAAAAAAGCCAGCGUGGACUCACUGGGGUAGAUGGCACAGGCUCAGAGUUCUGGACCAGCUUGAGAUGUUGUCCUGGACUAAUUGGGAGGGAAAAGGAUCAAUUGACAUGUGAAACAUGCUCAUUUUAUUUAAAAGUGUUGCCCUGGCCCAAGCACCAUGCACAACAGGACUGUAUAAGGAAUUUAAAGUAUGGUGUUAAUACCUUCCAGUGGUGAUGGACAGGUUCUGGCCUGUGUACCUCAUGACAUGUGGUGGCCCGUGAUCCCAUAUGCACUGUGAGGCCCAGGACUCUGCUGAUUUAGCAAGCCUCUCAUCCCACACCUUUCCAAACAGAGAACAACGAGAAGACUUUUUACAAAUUAACAUCACCAGUGUAGUCAGUUGUUAAACAAUAUUUCAAAUAUUUCAGAACUGACAAGGAGGGGCACUACCAUAUACUCCAUGUUUGCUGCAGGUGGGAAGACCUGAGAUCGCACACGGUUGUGGUAUUCCAGCAAAGCCAUCAUAUCCUUGGAGGAAAUGUAGCGCUUCCUCCGGCUGUGAGGCACAUCGCUGCUGCUCCUGUUUCUCCAGCUCAGUUCAAUCCCAAAAUGAGCCACAGUGAGGGGAGAGAGCUCUGUGGUGUUGGUCAGAGCCACAGCUGCUCUGGUGCACGGCAUCGCCCACAAGAUGGCAGCCAAGACCAGGUGACUGCAGCACACACGCAUGGUGCUGCAGUGGAAGGAGCUCCUUGGAUAAAGUCUUGCUACUGUGGAGGAAUGGGUUAAUUACUUAAUUACUUAAUUAAUUAAUUAUUUUUUAAUUAAACUAGAUAUUGAGAAAUACUCUUAUAAACAAUGCAUUAUGGUUGACUCUGUGGAUUUUAUGACACAAAGAUGCAGAUGUAAAUGAAUAAAUAAUAUAAAUAAUAUACUGAGUUCCAUAAAGUUUAUUCAAAAUGAAUUCAGCAUGACUAGUAAUAGAGAUAUAUAAUUUAUCUAGUAUAUAAGUACUGUAGUAUAUAAGUAAUAUAAAUAAGAUUCAUUUUAGUGAUCAUUAAAAUUGAGUACCAAUACUCUCAGCAAACUCAUUACAGUACAGCAAAUAUACAUGCAAGUAUAAAAAAGUGCAUUCACACACACAAAAAAAGAAGUCAUUAUAGAGCUAAACUAAAGUUACCAUAUUUUUUAAUUAAGGAGAAGCUUUGCUAAUGCAAAAAUUUAAAAAAAUAUAAAUGCACAAAUGACUUCUGCAGCUAGGUGAACAGUUGUAGCCACCAUCUGAAAAUAUACAGAAUAUGAGCUCCAGAUUUUGGUUUACCUUGUAAUUAAGCCCUACAAUCCCCCUAGCGAAAGCGUGAGAGCUCCUCACUUUGCAUACCUUCAGUCAGGAUUCCAGCACUUUGGUGCAGCUGAGCCUGGAAGUGAGCAGAGAUCUGCACUUAAACGCCAGCCUUUGCAAACAACACCGUUUGACAGUACUUAACAAGACGUGCGGUGACUGAAGCCAUCUGACGUCGAAGAGAAGCUCUGAGCUUCUUCAGCCCCCACAGGGAUGGUCCCUGGGUUCACAAAACACACUGAAGGGAGUUUUUGCUUUUUCAGCACACACUCUCGACGUGAGCGCCAGGCUUCCCGCCUUUCCUCAGCCAAAACCCACAAAUGGUACUUUUCUUCUAAACAGAAGUAAUCAAUAGGAAUGGAAAACUUCACCUGGGGGGGUGGGGGUUGUUCUGCAAGACCAUUUCUAUUCAUUUUUAACUGGUGGAGUUUAAUAGGUUUACCUAUUAUGAAAAAGAAAUGCAAUCAUUUGUUACUUACCAGCAUAUCCAUAUUCACACAUACUGAAUCCUAAGAAAAGCAGCAUUUAUAAAUAGGCUAAUUUCAUUCCAUUCUCAUUUUUUUUUAUCACCAUAUCAUAUGGUGCAUAUUUGUCUGAGCACCUCACAUAUAGCUCUGAUUUUAUUUUGGGAAAAUAUGUUAUGAUCUAGCAUUAAUGUUAUGUAUGUAUUUUAGAUGCAUGCUGCAUGAAAAAUAAAUGCCAUUUGCCAUAUUUGUUGCCAAAUUCAUCUCCACCCAGAGCCUAGUAGUCUGUUAAAGUGGUGAAAAAGUCAGUGAAAUUUACAGAAUAUUCAAUUUACACCAACUGUAGCAGAAAGCCAAGACAUGUUUGCUAUUUGACAUUUCUGCCAAUUAAAAAAGCAAUAUAGUAUAAUCAUAAUGACGAGAAAGAUUCUCAAAUUUAACAUAACUGUGACUUAAUAUCUCAUUGAAGAUAAUAAACAUGAGAUAAACAUGUCUUUAUGACAGUAUCUCUUUAUUAUGACAAAAUAAGUUAGAAUUAUAACAUAUCUUAUUAUUAUGAAGUCAUAAUCAUCUUUUUAUUUUGACAUAAUUGAGAUACUGAGUCAUAAGUAGGAGAUAUUAAGCCAUAACUAUGAGAAUAAUUUGAUUAUUAUGGACAUGUUCUUAUUAUUUGAAUAGAGAGAGUGUGCCAGACGUCACACGAAUGUGACCUUUAGUUCGUUUAAUCACGUUUUAUUGGCUAUAAGCUGCUAUGGUGAGAAACAGCAUUAACCAAUCAGAAUGAUACAUUUUUCCUGUUUCUGUUUGAAAGCUACCAGCUAGCUACACUCUGAGCUCAGGGAUGUUGAAAUGACAGCUGAGGAAGUAAAGGAGGUUUACUGCAGGGGGAGAAAAAGAAGCAUAGAUCAGGGUUUUAUAAGACAAAAUACUGUAUCAUUUUCCUCUGAUUACUAGCAUUAUCAUUUCCUAGAAAUGAAUUCCUAGCUAAUGUCACUGGUCCUGUGUAUAUUUAUGUCACUAUACCUUUGUACAGACACUUGAUCUUGAUCUAAAGCUUUAAUUAUUUGGGGUGGAUUUGUUCUGACAGCUACAUUAACACGAGAAAGAAGUACAAUAAGCGCAUGGUGGGGAUGAAAGAGAGGAAAAACAUCUAUCAGACAAAAGCCAGUGCACCAGAUGUCCAGGAUUCCAGGAAGGCUUGAAGGAGUCAUGCCAUGUGCAACACAUCUCAACCUAGACUGCUUGUAGUGCCAAGGUACAUGCCACGGACUGGCACAGAUCCACCGCACGGGGUCACUGAGAGCAUCACAGUCCUGCGAACUAUUUUUUUUCACAAACGGACUGGAUGUAUGCCACAAGUAUGACAUCACUGAAGAGGCAUGAGCAAAUUUUUGUCCACAGGUUGCUGUAGUAGUAAAGUGCAUUCUCCACCGCUGACAUCCCCGCUCGUAUUCACGUGAGGAUUCCUCCACGGCAUACGUUAUUUCAGCAUUUACUAAAUACGCUGUGAACCUUUAUAGUAUUUACUGAGGCCGUGUAAUGCUCACCCCACUGUUACUAUAGUGAAAUGGCGCAUGUUUUAGUUCCUCCCAGACAAACAGACAUCACUGUGGUCCAUUGUAGAGUUAGCAAUAGGCCAAGAGGAAGGGAUUUUAAGAGGAAAGUCACUACUGUUGCUGAAGUCAUGGGUUUAGGUUUGCUUAUUCCUAAGACCUUGCCUCAUACAGAAACUCACAGUACUGUUGUGAGGAUAUAAUAAUAUGUUUAUAUAUUGUUCCAUUAAAAAUACACUAUACAAGUAUAAAUAAUGAUACAGUGGGGUCCACUAGUAAAAAUGCUUCUAUUUUGCAUUUUCUAUUUUUUUCUUUACAAAUUAUUUUAUGGACAACAACUUGAGUGAAAGAUCUUUGAAAUCUUUGAAAUUUUUGCAUGAAUUUCAGAGUUUCUUAGUAUUAGAUUUGUCCCCUUUUUCUUUAAUGACAGUGUUGAGCUGGCCUGGACUCCACAAGUUUGUGCAAAACCUUAUGAUCCAUUUUAUAUCAAAUCCACCAGAGUGCUUCAAUAGAAGAGAUUAGGCAUGAGGAAAAUCUGACCUUUUGUACAAAAUCAAUAUCACACAUUUGCUUACAUUUAAAUAGGGACCUGAAAUAGCGCAGAAUCUUGAAUAUUAAAUAUUCAAGAUAUAGAACAUUUACUUUCUUUGUUUUAAAUAUUUCAAAAUUAUUAAAUCUUCUGUUUAUUUCCAAUUUUAAAUGAAAAAAAAAAUCCCAGAUUUUUGUCACAGACUUUUGGACCGCACUGUAUAUAUAAAAAAAAAACCAAGGAUGUGGAGUACCAUUUAAAUAAAAGACGCAGCAGAUGAAAAUGGUUUUUCAAUCUUUUCAUAAGGGCACAAAAGUGUCUUUCUGUGAUUUGAUUCCACUAGCACACUUAACCUCUGAAGUGCCACUGUCCCAGAAUUUAAACACAAUUAUAUUUUCUGUAAUAUUAAAGAAUAUAAUGAAGAAUUCCACUAUUUCUUUUCUAAACCUUUGAAUAAAAAUCAUUCAAAUGGUUGUGAUGGCCAUGCACCUGUUAUGGGAUCUAGGGUUUUGAAGAGUUUAGAUCCAACUCAUGGAAUGUUAUUAUGGAUAUGGUUACAGAUACACCACCUGAUACCUUAAAGACUGCUAUACCACUGCACUGUUGAGUUCUCAAUUCUGAUUGGUCAGAAGACGUUGAUUAAUUUUCUAUAAUAGCAGCUCUGACAGUAACGCCGUCUGCAAGACAAAUCACAUGUUUAUACUAAUGUGCUUAUUCUAAUACGUUAUUAUUUCUACAGUAACAACGUACACUAUACGUACGGACUUGUAUGGUGGAUGCUUCACAAUUUUUUUUAAACAAUGUGUAUUCCUUGAUAUGAUGAAGUUUUUUAGUAUUUUUGGAAGGAGUCUCCAGUGUCAGCACUUUGCAACAAUCAGUGAUAAAGCUGUAACUUUUUCUAUUUGUAUUUUCUCAGUAAUAUGACAAGCUGCAUUUUUCUAUCUGAUUAACUUAAAGAAAGAGAAAAAAAGAGGCAAGGUAUAUAGCUGCUAUAAUGUAAGUGAUAACAGGAACUUGUUUUGCUUUAUAAUACUGCAUAAGACAUGAUAUUAAUUAUAAGAAUGAGUUAACAAGAUGAUACUAAACUAUUAUCAAUAUUAGUGGCUAUUCAUACUGUAUAUGAAUCAGUUGGCUAUUAAUUUAUAUGCUUGAUUAUUUCCUGAUGCACUAGGGAUUAAUGAAAACGUUAAUUCAUCAUUAUGAAAGCAUUAGUUAAGCAUUAAUAUAUUGCUUAUUUGCUGACUUUAUAGUAAAGUUACCAAGUAUAUUCCAGCUUCUCUAAUGAACACUAGUAGCUUGACAUGAUGCAAUGACCCUUUCUUUCCUAGUUAGUAGAAAUACAAGCUGGAUGGAAAGAGGUUUCCAAAGAAAAAUAAUUUUUAGUGAUUUCUCACAUUUGUUCGCUUUACUAGCCUUGCAUAUAUACAGAAAAUACACAGAUACUGUAUAUAUAGCUUCACAAAUAGUUUGAAUAUCAAACAAAAUGGCUUCCUAAACAUUGGAAAGAAACCUGACUGUUCUAGUACAGACCCUUUUCCUUCAAGACAAAAAAACUGUUUUGGAAAAUCUGUGGAACAAAGUUCUUUCAAAUAUAUUACAUUUUGCAUGAGAAACAAGAGUGUCUGAGCGUGUCCACAAUGAACAAUACACACAUAGGCUGCCAGAACUGGCAUGGAGCAUUAUAGGCAUUAUUUAACCACAAUAUAAACUGUUCAUAAUGAAUAUGAGGUUACUCUCAACCAGGGAUGCAGAGGCUGAUGUUCAAGCUGUAGUCUGUUAGUACUCAGUGUUGGAUAGAGUGAAAUGAUGUGAAGAACUGAAUACGUUCACUGAACUACAUUUUAUUUCUAUAGAAAGAUCUGACCAAAACUUCAUAAUAAACAGUUAUAUCAGGAUGGAGCCAUAUACAUGGACAGAUCUCUUUAUGUGAAUAGUUUAAACACAUGGUACACAUGGAUAAACAGUACCUAUUUGUUAUUAUAUCAGAUAUUAAUGCACUGUUAUUCACAUGCUCAUACUAAACAACCUUUUGACACACUUUAUUGUAGUGAUUUAUAAUCAAGGAUCUACAUUUACAUCUGGAUUUCCAUACAGCAGCUUUGUGACCAUAUCUAUUGUUAAAAGCUCUUACAAAUAAAUCUGAAAUUGAAUAUUUAGCUUGAUAAAUUUAGUUAGCUCGUUCUAGUUCAGAAGAAAAAUGCCCUAACAAGAAGAACUUUGCAGCUACAAGGACCCUGUCACUUUGUGAUUUAAGGUCCACCAUUCAAGUUGUUUUCUUAAAGACCCUUCUGAAGUUAGCAGUUCCCAGGGUCAACCUAAAACUCCUGGGUCAAAGCUCACCGCAGCCUGGUCACAUCUGUUUAUACCACUUUCUUUUUGUGCGGUUACAAAGAAAAAUCUGUUCGAUUCAUUGAACUUCCAUUAUUUUGGAAGUUAACACAGUCGUAAAAUAUAUUUACAGAAAAGCCAGGUAUAUCAGGUUUGCUCAAAGAUCAAACCUGAUCAAACAACAACCUCGUGCACUCCAGACUACAAAGCGCCCUUGUGUAGAGCAGCCUUUAUAUUUAGCAACAGGCAUAUCCAUGUCAAUUCUGCCACAUACUUAAGAGUUCUGUCAUCACAUAUGAGCGGUGAGGGAAAAAAAAUGUUGAGCGGAAAUAUUAAACAAUCCGUGCGGCCAGAAAAGAGGAUGUCUGGAGCACGAGUGGAAACCUCUAACCAAGGUUGAAGACAAGGCCAAGUUCUAGCCUUGAGUUCUAGCCUUGAUAACAGAUUUGAGGGAUGAAAGCUAAUAUCCAUCAAUAGCUUAAGCAUUAUGAAAGCAAUAGGGAUGAACAAAAUAAGAACGAUCUGGUGCAAACUAUUUUUUUAUAUUUUAAGUUUGUAAUAUUCAUGCCGUGCUUCCUCUGAAUAGCAUAAAAAUAUGGUAAGCAGAAAACCUUGUAACCCUUUCAUUUAAAAAAAUAAUAAAAAAUUUACCCUUCUGUCAUCUGUUAUUUGGUAUAAUUUGUACUAUGAUGUGGAUAAUAUGUGGCUUUUCCAAAAGCCAUUUUAAGGGGAAAAAGGAUGAUUCACCUCAUUCACCUUUAUUACAUCAGAGACUGUAUUUCACUUUUGCCUUUUUUUGCCUUUUUUUGCCGUUUUUUUUUUUACAGAUGUGUCUGAAAAAUAUCAGCCAAAAUGAAAAUCAAAUCUGUUUCACUCUGUGUAAUCUCCUGACACACUGAUAAUCACUGAUAGACUGCAUAAAUCUACAGUCUGGGCUAGAAAGGAAUCAGCCCCAGCCUCACUUCUUGAUACCAUUCUGUAUAUUUCUCUUAGGACUGUUGGUUGUUCUGCUACAAAAUAAUCCGCUUUAAGACAUUUUACCUUUUAAAAGGGUUAGCCACCCUACAGUGAGAAACCGAGACCUUGAUUACAUAGAUAGGGAUCUCUCACAAAAAGAGAACUGACUGCACAAGGGAGGACAAGACAAAGUAAGAAAGACUGAAUGAGCUGAAAAAAGCUGCACAGCUGUGCAAUUAUCCCCUUGGAAAAAAGAAGAAAGGGGGUUGAGAGGGGGCUACAGUAAACUCAGUGUCUUUACAUCUGAACUCCUGUUCUCACUUGAACAGCACAAAGAGAGCUCACACUUCAAGAAAGUAUUAGGAAAAUCUAGCGAAGGCAGAAUGAGUUGCAAAAGGUGCACAGCUGUGCGAUUAUCCCCUUCAUUGCAAAAGAAAAGGAAAAGGUGAUGGAGCUACAGUGUGUUUCUUGCUCUCUGUGUGAAGUGUGUCACUAAGCAUAGACACACACACACACACACACACACACACACACACACAAGUCUCCAGGUCCUGCCCCUGCUGCUCCCUAUGCCUCUGGUGUGCAGUGAUCCGUUUCUCAUGUCAGCAGUCCAAACUUUGUUUUGGCGGCCCAAAAAACAAAUUUACCGAGUAGCGUAGCUGCUCGCUCUGAUGGAUCGCUUGAGGGGAACGCAGACAAUGGGCUCAUACUAGCCGACCUUUCCUGGAAGAAAAUUGCAGAUGAGUCAGUGGAAGAUUUGAUUGCUUGCUCGCAGGAGAGGCAAGAACACACCGCUUCCAGGUUCAACUGAAGAAAAGUUGGGGCAAAUAUACAUCUCUAAAUAGAUCCUUACAUCCAAGAUAGUAGUUCUAGCACAAACUGUACAGUGAUUCCUUAAAAGGUUUGGUUAGACUUUCUACAAAGCCCAUAUUCAUAAAUCAUUAUAACAUUAAAAGUGCUAGUUUUUUGCAAGUUAAUAGUGAUUCUUUGUAAGAAUUUACCUCUAUAUAAACUGUAAUAAAGCCUCAUAAAGCUUUAAUAAUAUGCUAUGAAUAAUUCCUUAAUGACUUAUAAUCAUGUUGUGACACGUGUCACUAUUCAUUAUAAUAUCAUGUGCUGUAUUAAAUAUAACAAUAACUAACAAUGGUCUAUGAAUAAUUGUAAAGCACCUGUAAGAUUUCUUAACAAUUAUAAAAAAUUGAUAGAUGUCUUCACAGUGGGCACAAGCGAAGCAAAACUGGACAGUUGAAAAUUGGGAAAAAAAAGACCAGGAGAUUUUUUUUCCCAGUUUGCAACUGUCCAGUUAUAGUGAACAUGUUCCCACUGUACACACAAUUUCCUUGUCUUCACUGACAGGAGUGGAACCUGAUGUGGUCUUCUGCUGUUGUAGUCUCACCUGCCUCAAGGUUUGAGGCAUGUCGUGCAUUCUGAGAUGCUUUUCUGCUCACCACGGUUGUAAAGAGUGGUUAUUUAAGUUACUGUCAGCUCGAACCUGCCUGCUCAUUCUCCUCCAACCUCUCUAAUCAAGGCAUUUCCACUCGCAGAACUGCUGCUCACUGGUGGUUUUUUGUUUUUUUGUAAACUCUAGAGACUGUUGUGAGUGAAAAUCCCAGGAGAUUAGCAGUUUCUGAAAUACUCAAGACAUGGUGAGAGUCAAGGAGAUCACUUUUUCCCCUAUUCUGAUGUUUGAGGUGAACAUUAACUGAAGCUCUUGACCUGUGUCUGCAUGAUGUUAUGCAUUGAGCUGCUGCUACGUACGUGAUUGGCUGAUCAGAUAACUGCGUGAAUGAGCAGAGGUACAAGUGGUCAUUCUCGUUAUCUGAAGCACUCUGUGAUUACAUUUUAAUUAUUUAUAAUCUAUUUAUAUAUGUUGCAUUAUAAUUAUGCAUAGCUCAUUAUUAGUUAUAAAGGUUGUACAGAACAUAACAUGGUAUUAUAAUGAAGAAUGACAAGCAUUACAACAUGUUUAUAAGUUAUCAAGGAAUUAUUUAUAGCACUAUAUUAUAGAUUUACAAGACAUUAUUAGAGUUUAUACAGAGUUUAAUGCUUACAAGGAAUCAUUACCAACUUGCAAAGAAUUAUAAGCACAUUUAUAAUGAUUUAUGAAUGUGGGCUUCAUUGUAGGUGUUACCAAAUAUUUUAUUUUCCCACUUGCAGUUUAUUCUUAUGGAUAUUUGAAAAUCUGCUUUGUAAGCAGGGUGGGUUUCCAGUCACAAGAAGUCUCAUAAAUCUCAGCAGGCUUUAGUGCAGGAUGAGCCUGGAGGAACAACCUCACGCCAGAAGCAAUCUCACUUCCUCCGCUACAUGACAUCACUCUGUCUAGACGCUCGAGUACAAAAGCACACUGUAACUCUGUAGUGGUCAUGACUUUUCAGCAACUUUAAGACUGAUGUUGCCUGUUGAAUUUGGGAGGCGUUUAAUAAAUGUGGAGGGGAAAAUUAGCAUUCGAAAAACUGUCACAAAUUAGAAUUCGAAGACCUUUACUGGUAAGAGAAUAAUUUGGUAAAGGUACAGACUACGAGGAAUCUGAGACUUAAAGACUUAAAGACAUUCUGAAACAUGUAGUAAAUAUAUUUCGAGUAUGUUAACUAUAAAUUCAGCUUAAAAGUCUAUUGUUAGAAAAUAUUUUAUUUGAUAAAUACAGGCUUUGCCAGAUUGCCAGAGUGCUAGCACCCCAUUGCAAGUUAAUGUGCCAUAUAAUUGUAUAAUUAUUGGCACCCCACAAUGCAUUUUGAAGAUAUAGAUAAUGAAGCCUCCUCUAUAGAGAGAAUGCUCGUGCUGGGAAAUGUUUAACUGCGCCAGAUGUUUGAAACCAUUUUUUUUAUUAACACGAUUGGUCUUAAUAAUAUUUCAGCUGAUUUUUAAUGUAUUUUUAUAUCCAAUACAUACAUGAUUUAAGGAUAACAGUCAUCAGUUUCAUUUUACAACAUACUGUAUAUGUUUAAAUGUUAAAUGUUUUGUAUCAUGUAUUAUUUGUAGGGCGGAAAGGGGUCGUGGGAAGCUCCGGGGUCCAUGUUUCAUUCCUAAACUGAGGUUACUGUUUGCUCAGAGUUUCUAAUGUUCUCCUCAUCUACUGUGACCCUGCCCAGGAUAAAGCAGCUCCUAAACAUAAAUGAAUGAAAUGAUGAAUUAUUUGUUAAAGGAAGGGUAAUGUAUGUUGGUAAUAGGGGUGUAACGCAAUAGCACAAUCUAUAUCUGUAUUUGUUUAAUGCUCCAAAUAUUCAUAUCUGUAUUUGUAUUCAGAUUUACCUUGGAAGUGGGUGUGGUCUAUGUCCCGGAAACACUGGAAAACAGUUGGGGGAAAAACAGGGAAUCAUGUUUCAUUGCCAAAUUAACAACAAAUAGCAAUUUGCAGAACACAGACUCAAGUCAUUUGGCAACCGUGCAUUCCUUGAAGUGUCCAAGCAACACAAAGUUACACUGAAAAAGAAGAGUAAAAAGAAGAUCCAAAUGCACCCUGUGCACCUACACCACAUCCAAAGUAUACUCACAGCCAGACAUCAGUAAAAUUCAUGGCCAUCUCUUGUUAAAAUACCGGUACUUCAGACAGCACCAUCUGGCAUGACGCUGGAAAGCGGAAUGGAGAGACAAUGAAGCCAAAUGUGAGAUGUGUUCAGGGAAUCAGACUCCACAUUCUCGCCAAGCCAGAGUGCACUGAGGGCGAAGCGUGCUUGCACUUGCAGCAGAGACAGAAAUCUGAAAAUAUCAUCGAGCUGGAUUUUAUACAGGGUUAGUGUGUAAAAUUAUUUCAGAGGUAGACAAGGUCCAAAAAUCUCAGUGCCUAACAGAUUUCAACAGUAACAGUAAAAAUACAAUACUGAUAUUUCAUAGAAUCAUAGAGAGGCAUGCCUUAUAACUCUUUUUACUUACAGAGGACCCUUUACUGGACCCUGGACACAUUUUUGCUCUUGGGUUGUUGAUUAUACUGCCCUCUACUGGAUAUUAUGGUCUUGGGGAAGCUAUUUUGCAGUUGUAAAGCUAUAAGAUAGUUAUGAUUUAAAAUAGCUAAGCUGCUCUCAAACUACACUCAAGAUACUAAGGAAGUGAGGAAGACAUUCUAUUUAUUUAUUUAUAUUUUGCUGAAUUUUUUUCACAAAACAAUAAAUAAAAUAAUAAAUACAUAUUAAAAAAUUGCUUUGUAAAGGGAAUGCCAUAACACAGAUUUUGCUUUUCUGUUUAUAAACCACUCAUUGCAAGAAGUGGUUAACAUUAUGUAACUUUAUACCACAGAGCUGUUGAAUAUUCGAAUCUGAUUGAUCCGAAAAUGUUUACAGGUUUAUUCUGCAUAAAUGCGCUUAUUCUAAUAUGUCAUCGUUUCUAUAGUAACAGCUAAUUCACAGUGACAUGCAUGGUGGACAUUUCACAAAAUCUAAGGCUAAUAAUAAGUGUAUGAAAAAUGUGGUUUUGUUUAAUAACACAACAAAAAUAAUAAAAUACAAUCACUGAUAUGAUGAACAGAAGUUUAUUUGACAUUUAUGGAAGGAGUCUCCAGUGUCGGUGCUUUGUAACAGUCAGUAAGUUUUCCGCCAUGGGAAAGUCUUCAAUGACAAUGACAAUCCUUUUUUUUUUUUUUUUAAGACAGAGAAAAUAAUAGAGGUUGGUGAGAAAAUUACUGUUUAUAGUUGUUAUAGUAUAAGUGACAACAGGAACUAACAUGUCUCACAGAAGUUAUACAACCCUUAAUAUAACUCUAAACAUGUAAAAGGCAUGUAAAAAUUGCUGUGGGGUAAGAUAAGAUUUAAAAAAAAACACUUCGGGAUGUGCUGUUAUAGGAAAAAGGCUCCAUUUCUGAGAAGUAACAGUGAGAUAAACUCAUAUUGCACUAUAACCAUUUUACUUACAUGUAUGUAAUUGCUGUUGCUUUCUUUACUGCAGGUUUUCAUCUUUUUAAUGAAAAAAAAAAUGCUGUAUUAUGGGAUGCACUAUAGUUCUCAGUGAGCAGAUGAGUUGUAAGAUCUGUAUUAUUCCAAUAAACCUGCUUUCACUAAAUGUUUAUCUGCCCGCAAGGUCUGAAACAUUUGUUACAAAUAACUUGCAUUAAAA